CAUGAUUCUGAGAAGGGGUUUAUAGACUUCCCCAGACUGACUUAGUUGCCCAAAGGGUCCCUGAACCCCAAAAGUUAAGAGCUCCUGCUCUAGGCUCUAGGGCCAAGAACUGAAGAGCCCCUCACCAAAUCAAGGGAUGGGAAGGGAAGCUAUAUUGCAAAGAAGAGAACCUAAAUGAGGGGUGGGAAAAUGGGGGGCAAGGGGUUAAGCCUCAGCUUGAUUCCUGCCCCUUUCCUUCCCUGCUGGGGGCUAUAAUUUGGUCGGGGUGUCUAGACAGCUAAUAACUUGGCUGGUGUGACUGGGACAGAAACAGGGAAUGGAAAGGGGGGAGGAGGAGGAGGAGGAGAAAAGGUGUUGCUCUCUGGGGGAGGGCUGGGGGCUGCUCCCAGGGCACUCCCACCUGGGAGGACCUGACAAGGGGUUGGGGAGAAGAAGCCACUUUCCAUGGCUGUAAGCUGAGUUCCCUUCUUCCCCCACCGCACUUUGCUCCCCAUCACUAUAACCCAGUGAUUUCUGACUGUAUCUCUGUCUGUCUCUGUCUCUGUCUGUCUGUCUGUCUGUCUGUCUGUCUCUCUCUGUCUUGGUCCCCUUUUCUGACAGUCUCAUUUUAUCUUUCUAUUUCUCUUUCCUUCCUCUUUUCUCUCUUGCCACUGUUUCUCUCCAUCUGGGGUGGGGGCUCCAAGGCUUUGAGCCAGUCCAGUAGUUGCCGGCGCCGUGGAAGGCUGGGGGAUUGGGGGGAGGAGGGUCAGGUUUCUGGCCGUCCUGGACACCAGGAGGAAUUUCAGACUCUCAAGCCAGCUUGUUGGAGGUAGAGAGGCAUAAUUCAGCCAAAUCUCCAACCAGAAUCACCCCAAGAAUCUCACCGAGACACCCAACCCCCUAACCUGAAACUGCUCCCUCAUCUCCCUGAAACUUUUUAUUUCUACCCUGCCCCCAUCCACACUGACCCCCAUUUCCCAAGUUCACAUCUUCUCUAUUUCCCAAAGACCUCAGCCCUCUCCCCCUCCCUCACUCUUGCAACUCCCCCGAUUUUCAGAGAGAGAAGACAGUGUGCCUCAAUACUCACCAUCUCCAUUCUUACAGCCCACCCCACCAGUUCCUCCCUUACUCUCCCAAGUGCCCUAGCUACUGCCUUUCUUGUCCUCUUCUCCUUAUUUUUCUAGGAUUUCAUAGCCCUCUCCCACUUCACUGUCCCCAGGCUCUCUGAGAAAAAGGGGAAGGAGAAGGGGGCAGGCGGAGGGAUCCAUCAUCCCACCACUACCUAUAUUUAUUUCUCUCACCUGUCUCAUUCACUACCCCUUCUCUGCUCCCCAACCCUCCCUCAUUUGCUUUCCUGCAGCCUUCUAAGCUCACUAUCUCCCAUUCCUUCAGCUGUCUGUGCUCUCCUUGAUCAUGCAUCCCUGAGUCCCCUGGAGGGGAUAGGGGGGGCCCCAAUGGCCUCCUGCCCUCCAGCCUCUGGAGGCCCCACCGCCCACCUGGGUCAGGGGGUGCGCCCCCGCCCCUC
rnacentral:lncRNA from 1 species